CCUUUUGUAUAAUGGGUCAGCGACUUAUAUUCUGUAGCAAGGUUAACCGAAUAGGGGAGCCGAAGGGAAACCGAGUCUUAACUGGGCGUUAAGUUGCAGGGUAUAGACCCGAAACCCGGUGAUCUAGCCAUGGGCAGGUUGAAGGUUGGGUAACACUAACUGGAGGACCGAACCGACUAAUGUUGAAAAAUUAGCGGAUGACUUGUGGCUGGGGGUGAAAGGCCAAUCAAACCGGGAGAUAGCUGGUUCUCCCCGAAAGCUAUUUAGGUAGCGCCUCGUGAAUUCAUCUCCGGGGGUAGAGCACUGUUUCGGCAAGGGGGUCAUCCCGACUUACCAACCCGAUGCAAACUGCGAAUACCGGAGAAUGUUAUCACGGGAGACACACGGCGGGUGCUAACGUCCGUCGUGAAGAGGGAAACAACCCAGACCGCCAGCUAAGGUCCCAAAGUCAUGGUUAAGUGGGAAACGAUGUGGGAAGGCCCAGACAGCCAGGAUGUUGGCUUAGAAGCAGCCAUCAUUUAAAGAAAGCGUAAUAGCUCACUGGUCGAGUCGGCCUGCGCGGAAGAUGUAACGGGGCUAAACCAUGCACCGAAGCUGCGGCAGCGACGCUGAUGCGUUGUUGGGUAGGGGAGCGUUCUGUAAGCCUGUGAAGGUGUGCUGUGAGGCAUGCUGGAGGUAUCAGAAGUGCGAAUGCUGACAUAAGUAACGAUAAAGCGGGUGAAAAGCCCGCUCGCCGGAAGACCAAGGGUUCCUGUCCAACGUUAAUCGGGGCAGGGUGAGUCGACCCCUAAGGCGAGGCCGAAAGGCGUAGUCGAUGGGAAACAGGUUAAUAUUCCUGUACUUGGUGUUACUGCGAAGGGGGGACGGAGAAGGCUAUGUUGGCCGGGCGACGGUUGUCCCGGUUUAAGCGUGUAGGCUGGUUUUCCAGGCAAAUCCGGAAAACUAAGGCUGAGGCGUGAUGACGAGGCACUACGGUGCUGAAGCAACAAAUGCCCUGCUUCCAGGAAAAGCCUCUAAGCAUCAGGUAACAUCAAAUCGUACCCCAAACCGACACAGGUGGUCAGGUAGAGAAUACCAAGGCGCUUGAGAGAACUCGGGUGAAGGAACUAGGCAAAAUGGUGCCGUAACUUCGGGAGAAGGCACGCUGAUAUGUAGGUGAAGUCCCUCGCGGAUGGAGCUGAAAUCAGUCGAAGAUACCAGCUGGCUGCAACUGUUUAUUAAAAACACAGCACUGUGCAAACACGAAAGUGGACGUAUACGGUGUGACGCCUGCCCGGUGCCGGAAGGUUAAUUGAUGGGGUCAGCGCAAGCGAAGCUCUUGAUCGAAGCCCCGGUAAACGGCGGCCGUAACUAUAACGGUCCUAAGGUAGCGAAAUUCCUUGUCGGGUAAGUUCCGACCUGCACGAAUGGCGUAAUGAUGGCCAGGCUGUCUCCACCCGAGACUCAGUGAAAUUGAACUCGCUGUGAAGAUGCAGUGUACCCGCGGCAAGACGGAAAGACCCCGUGAACCUUUACUAUAGCUUGACACUGAACAUUGAGCCUUGAUGUGUAGGAUAGGUGGGAGGCUUUGAAGUGUGGACGCCAGUCUGCAUGGAGCCGACCUUGAAAUACCACCCUUUAAUGUUUGAUGUUCUAACGUUGACCCGUAAUCCGGGUUGCGGACAGUGUCUGGUGGGUAGUUUGACUGGGGCGGUCUCCUCCUAAAGAGUAACGGAGGAGCACGAAGGUUGGCUAAUCCUGGUCGGACAUCAGGAGGUUAGUGCAAUGGCAUAAGCCAGCUUGACUGCGAGCGUGACGGCGCGAGCAGGUGCGAAAGCAGGUCAUAGUGAUCCGGUGGUUCUGAAUGGAAGGGCCAUCGCUCAACGGAUAAAAGGUACUCCGGGGAUAACAGGCUGAUACCGCCCAAGAGUUCAUAUCGACGGCGGUGUUUGGCACCUCGAUGUCGGCUCAUCACAUCCUGGGGCUGAAGUAGGUCCCAAGGGUAUGGCUGUUCGCCAUUUAAAGUGGUACGCGAGCUGGGUUUAGAACGUCGUGAGACAGUUCGGUCCCUAUCUGCCGUGGGCGCUGGAGAACUGAGGGGGGCUGCUCCUAGUACGAGAGGACCGGAGUGGACGCAUCACUGGUGUUCGGGUUGUCAUGCCAAUGGCACUGCCCGGUAGCUAAAUGCGGAAGAGAUAAGUGCUGAAAGCAUCUAAGCACGAAACUUGCCCCGAGAUGAGUUCUCCCUGACUCCUUGAGAGUCCUGAAGGAACGUUGAAG
rnacentral:rRNA from 1 species